UACGUAGGGGGCAAGCGUUGUCCGGAAUCAUUGGGCGUAAAGAGCGUGUAGGCGGCCCGGUAAGUCCGCUGUGAAAGUCGAGGGCUCAACCCUCGAAUGCCGGCGGAUACUGUCGGGCUAGAGUCCGGAAGAGGCGAGUGGAAUUCCUGGUGUAGCGGUGAAAUGCGCAGAUAUCAGGAGGAACACCGAUGGCGAAGGCAGCUCGCUGGGACGGUACUGACGCUGGAGGCGCGAAAGCGUGGGGAGCAAACAGG
rnacentral:rRNA from 1 species